GCACCACAAGAACGCGUGGAGCAUGUGGCUUAAUUUGACUCAACGCGGGAAAUCUUACCGGGUCCGGACACACUGAGGAUUGACAGGCAAUAUCUUGGCUGUUUAAUAAUAACAGCCGUUUAUUAAUAAACGGUUUAUUAAACAGAUCGAGUGUUAAAUAUGCUAGUCCUUUCAUGAUUAUGUGAUAGGUGGUGCAUGGCCGUUCUUAGUUCGUGGAGUGAUCUGUCUGCUUAAUUGCGUUUCACUAAGGGCCCAUAAAUUCAAGGUAUGUUAGCAAUCGUCGCUCUAUGGACCCCUUAUUUCAGUUUAUUAAUAAACUGUUAUAAGCGCGCGUCUUGUUUAAAGAGUUUAAGACACUGCGCAUGCUGUUGGGCUCUGAAAGCAACGAACGUGACCGCAACGUCUUGUUGCCUUAAUCAAGUCGGCUGUUUAAUAAUCUGUUUAAUUAAACAGACAGACAGCAGUCAUUAUAUGGCUUAUCCGAGGCUAUUUAAAACUAGACGAACCGCUGUUUCUUUUCUUAAACCAGGGGAAGGUUGCGGCAAUAACAGGUCUGUGAUG
rnacentral:rRNA from 1 species